AUCUUCUGUUAAUUUGUUACUGUGUCUAAAAUGAUUUUAUUUUUAAUGGUGAUCUUCAACAUUUCAUUUCUGUCCUAAUUAUUUUAUUCAAAGUCUUCCAUUUCAAGUGCACGGCUUAAAUACAAGACUCGUGGAGUUUUGUCACUUGUCACUUUUUUUCUAAUCUGCAAGACAAAUGCAACACGUGCACCAUAGCACAAUCUGAAAAUUGUGUCUACUAGGCAGCACAAUCCUGAUAGAACUACAC